AUUGAACGCUGGCGGCAGGCCUAACACAUGCAAGUCGAACGAGUGGCGGACGGGUGAGUAAUGUCUGGGAAACUGCCUGAUGGAGGGGGAUAACUACUGGAAACGGUAGCUAAUACCGCAUAACAUCGGAUGUGACCAGAUGGGAUGAGCGAGUAGGUGGGGUAACGGAUCACCUAGGCGACGAUCCCUAGCUGGUCGGCGAGGAUGACCAGCCCCACUGGAACUGAGACACGGGCCAGACUCCUACGGGAGGCAGCAGUGUGGAAUAUUGCACAAUGGGCGCAAGCCUGAUACAGCCAUGCCGCGUGUAUGAAGAAGGCCUUCGGUUUGUAAAGUACUUUCAGCGGGGAGGCGUUACCCGCAGAAGAAGCACCGGCUAACGCCGUGCCAGCAGCCGCGGUAAUUC
rnacentral:rRNA from 1 species